AAAAAGAAGAAGCAGAAGAGAAAAAAGAAGAAGAAAUAAUAAGUAGGAGCGGGAGGAAAAUACGUCCGAAGAGAUAUAUAGAUGAACACACAGAAGAGAAUACUACUUUACCUUCGCCGGCACCAAAGAAGCGUAGAGGCGCAUCCCCUGCCCUGGAGAAGGAAAAGGAACCAGAAAAAG